GCUGGGCAUGGUGGUGCACGCCUGUAAUCCCAGCUACCUGGGAGGCUGAGGCACAAGAAUCACUUGAACCCAGGAGGUGGAGGUUGCAGUGAGCCAGGAUCACACCACUGCACUCCAGCCUGGGUGACAGAGUGAGACUCUGUCUCCA
rnacentral:SRP_RNA from 1 species